rnacentral:rRNA from 1 species
GAUGAACGCUAGCGGGAGGCCUAACACAUGCAAGCCGAGCGGUAUUUGCUCUUCGGACCAGAGAGAGCGGCGCACGGGUGCGGAACACGUGUGCAACCUGCCUUUAUCUGGGGGAUAGCCUUUCGAAAGGAAGAUUAAUACCCCAUAAUAUAUUGAGUGGCAUCAUUUGAUAUUGAAAACUCCGGUGGAUAGAGAUGGGCACGCGCAAGAUUAGAUAGUUGGUGAGGUAACGGCUCACCAAGUCAAUGAUCUUUAGGGGGCCUGAGAGGGUGAUCCCCCACACUGGUACUGAGACACGGACCAGACUCCUACGGGAGGCAGCAGUGAGGAAUAUUGGACAAUGGGUUAGCGCCUGAUCCAGCCAUCCCGCGUGAAGGACGACGGCCCUAUGGGUUGUAAACUUCUUUUGUAUAGGGAUAAACCUACUCUCGUGAGAGUAGCUGAAGGUACUAUACGAAUAAGCACCGGCUAACUCCGUG